UGGUUAGGAAUUUGACUCCUGUCAUUCAAACAUAGUUCUAUUCCUACAUAAGAUUCCAGUCAUCCAAACAUAGUCAAAAUUCCGGUCAACCAUGCAUGAGAUGACUGUGGAGGGAAUAGGUCCAUGAUCACCCAAUAAUUUCCCCAAAUCUUAGGACUGGAUAUCUGCUCACCAGUUGCACCCUGCAGUCGCCGUCUACCAUCCAAAACCAAAAGUCCAAGUAUUGCUAGAAAUUGGAUCCGAGUCCUAGCCUGUUUUUGGCCUAUAAAAGGUGAACCACCCCCGCCCCUUAAUUUGUACCAUUCAAAUUGGUAGCACUUCUGUUUUCCUUGGGGGUUAAAAAAAAUGGGUCUAAGAAAGCUUUUUGUUGGUGUGCAAGUCCUUUUGAUCAUCUCCAUCAUUCUCUUGGCUUUCGAGGUGGCUGCCAGGGAACUUCUCCAACAAUAUCCGAGCCCUCUAAAUCCUUAUGAUCAUAAGAUGGAGAGGGAGCUCGCUGGUUCGGGCACUUUGGAUAAACCAUGGCCCACCAAUGUUUAAAUUCAGUGAUUUUAUCUCACGAAUAGAAGACGAAGAGGUUGGCGUGCUUGCUGUAGAAGAUGACCUGAUUUUCGAAUUUGUAUCUCUUUACUGCAAACUAUUCCUUUUCUUUUUUGAAAUUACUCUCCUAUAUUGAUUAAAAAGUAUGAAUAACGUUGUUUGUA